rnacentral:lncRNA from 1 species
CACAUUGUGUGAGCUUGAAUAGUCUCAAUCUGACAUUGAGGGAGAAAGUUAUGAUAAAAAUAUUAAUCGCUCUUAGUUGCCACUCGUUAGGAGAUCGAGCACUGUGGCCAUCUAAGGAAUGGUAAAAUUUAAUUUUCAAGCUGAUUUUGAGUCUCUUUUCAUCCCACACACUACCCAUUAUAAAUACACACUCUAUGAGACAUCCAAAAGUGUGGUUGAACAAUAUUUUGAUUGUAGAGAUCAUUCUUUGAAGAUCUAAACUUCCUUUCAAUGAUUCCCUGAUUCAACCACCUCAUAUAUAUUCUGCAUAUUGAAACCCGAACAUUGUUGCAAUAUAAGUAGUGCCUUUUGUAAGUCAAGAGUUUGUUCUUUGAAAGCCAAACACAUUCGAAUAUCUCUCGCAUCAGGAUAUAGAUCAAAACACAAAAGAUAUUUGAUCAAACACUAAAACAAAACCAUGCAUUCACCAAUUAGCUUUCAGAGUUCCGGGAAGAGACGCUUGGAGUUCCCAUGCUCAACAACAAGGUUCAUUAUUAUUGAUCCAUGCAGAGAGAAAAGUAGCACAAGGUUUUGAGAAGUGCACAACCAAAGGAGUUCCUCGGUGAUUUAUAAGUUAGGUAGCUAGAGUCAACUAAGGUCUAACAUUGUUUGGAUUAAUUAUAAGUUAAAUUUUCUCGUAAUUUUUACUGACACGUUUGCUCGAAAGUUUUUUAUCCGUUAGAGAUUUUCCUGUGUGAUCAUAUUUGGUUUUAUUUAUUUAUUUUCUCCCUUAAUCUGAAUGAUUGUGAUUGUUUAACCAUAGGAAUUAAAUGAAUUAGUUCCGCAAUCACCUGGAAACAAUUAAUAAAUGAUUUAUUGCUUUUAAUUGGUUUAAUUCAGCAUUUGGUUCGAAAAUUUUCGACUAAUUAAAAUUUCAACAAUUAGUAUAUUUAACUAGCCGUAAAUUGAUGAAAAAUGUCUAAUAGAUUUACUACAUCCAACAAACCUCUGUUACUCCAAUCUACCAUUUACUACAUAUCAUGAAUGUUGUCAUUUCUGGUUCAUGUAGGUUAUUCUUUGAAGGGAAUUGCUCUAAGCCCUUGUCAUUAGUGAACGGUAUAUUCCUCUACCACCCACACAAGCCACCACCUCCACACAUAUGUUUUUAUGUGUGUAUGUUCCAUUUUUAAUAUGUGACAUGGACUAAGCAAAUAACUAAUCAUGAGCCAGAAGUGACCAAUAGAAUCCGAAAGUCUGAGAACAUAUGAAGGUCUUAUAUCUCCGGCUCAAUGAAUUUUAAUUAAGUAUAUUCACGGGCAUGAUUCACGUCAAAGUAAAAAAACUAAAAAAAUAAAAAAUAAAAAAAAUCCACCAUUGAUCAGUACUUUUUGUUCAUGUUGUGCAACAGCUCAUGUGAUAGUGAAGAUAACAAGCCAGUAUUUGAACGUAGGCUUUAUGAGUUUUUUAAGUGCAUGAUGACAUAUUAGAUUAUGAAAAUUAUCAAGUACUACUCGAAUUUGAAAAAACUUCGAAUGAGUUCAUUAUUCAUAAAAGUUACAUCUUUGUUGAUAAACAGGAUUUUAGCAAUUUAAAUAAUUGUUGAACUAAUAAUAAUGAUGUCGUUUCAGGUGAUAUUAAUCUUAUAGAGUCACUAUGUGCGUGUUUGGAAUGUACCAUUGGACAUAGCUACAACAUAUAAUUAACAAUUUUAGCAUUCUUUCUUUUUUAAUGCAUAGUUUUUAUGCAAUAUUUAAUUAGAGAACAUAGAUUAAUGCACCAUCAACAUUACAUUCAAACCCAAACAAGGAGUUAAAUUCUUAUAUUUAGACGGACUCUAACACUUGAUUCUGGAUUGGUAAUAUGCAUGGCAUGGAUUCCUUUUAAUUAAAUGUGUUUCCAAUUCAGGAUGGGAGGCAAAGCAUGUUAUUGUCAAUUACUCGUAUGACUUUUGAACUUUGGGAAAUGGAGAAGUGGUCCCACUUUGUUUCAUAUAUUUGUGUUUAGCAUGUUAACUUAUUUCAUGUUACACGUUUGAGUGGUUCAAUUAUUUAAUAAAACAAUGUCAAUUUUAUAGAUACAAAUAUAAAAUAACAUUAAUGAAAAAACGUAAAGGCCCUAAUAUUUAAAAAAUAAUAGUAAAAAAAAAAGCUGAAAAUCGAGUCUAAUAAGCACAUUGCAAACCCUAGCAAUGUUAAUAAAAUUAACUAAAUGGGUUCAAAAGUAGUGAUUGAAUUUCAAAAUCUCAUUUUUGACUUCCAAAAAACAAUCUAAAACGGGCCCUGAGUCUUCUUUUUGACAAAAGUCGUAAAUGUAAUAUGCUAGAAUGAUGAUUACUUACAUUAUUAUCAAAUUCUUUAUCAGUUUCUUGAAUGUGAGGAUUUAAGUUGUUAUGAUGUGCAUAACAGUAUAUUAUAUUUUAUUAAUUAAGUAGGCUUCAUCUCGAAAUUAUUGUUGAAGAACCACUUAGCUUGAUUGGUCUAAUGUCAACCAGUCUUCCCAAUCUAGCUCUUUAAUUGAAUUAAUCGAAU